rnacentral:rRNA from 1 species
GCAAGUCGAGCGGUAACAGAGAGUAGCUUGCUACUUUGCUGACGAGCGGCGGACGGGUGAGUAACGCGCAGGAAUUUGCCUGAUAGAGGGGGAUAGCCCGGGGAAACUCGGAUUAAUACCGCAUACGCUCUACGGAGGAAAGCAGGGGCUCUUCGGACCUUGCGCUAUCAGAUAAGCCUGCGUGGGAUUAGCUAGUUGGUGAGGUAAUGGCUCACCAAGGCGACGAUCCCUAGCUGGUCUGAGAGGAUGAUC